AAGGCUAAAUACUCUCUAGUGACCGAUAGUGAACCAGUACCGUGAGGGAAAGGUGAAAAGUACCCCGGAAGGGGAGUGAAAGAGAACUUGAAACCGUGUGCUUACAAGUAGUCAGAGCCCGUUAAUGGGUGAUGGCGUGCCUUUUGUAGAAUGAACCGGCGAGUUACGAUCUGAUGCAAGGUUAAGCAGAAAAUGUGGAGCCGUAGCGAAAGCGAGUCUGAAUAGGGCGAAUGAGUAUUUGGUCGUAGACCCGAAACCAGGUGAUCUACCCUUGGUCAGGUUGAAGUUCAGGUAACACUGAAUGGAGGACCGAACCGACUUACGUUGAAAAGUGAGCGGAUGAACUGAGGGUAGCGGAGAAAUUCCAAUCGAACUUGGAGAUAGCUGGUUCUCUCCGAAAUAGCUUUAGGGCUAGCCUCAAGUGAUGAUUAUUGGAGGUAGAGCACUGUUUGGACGAGGGGCCCCUCUCGGGUUACCGAAUUCAGACAAACUCCGAAUGCCAAAUAAUUUAACUUGGGAGUCAGAAUGUGGGUGAUAAGGUCCAUAUUCGAAAGGGAAACAGCCCAGACCACCAGCUAAGGUCCCAAAAUAUAUGUUAAGUGGAAAAGGAUGUGGCGUUGCCCAGACAACUAGGAUGUUGGCUUAGAAGCAGCCAUCAUUUAAAGAGUGCGUAAUAGCUCACUAGUCGAGUGACACUGCGCCGAAAAUGUACCGGGGCUAAACAUAU
rnacentral:rRNA from 1 species